rnacentral:lncRNA from 1 species
GGCGCCGCGGCGGCCGCGGAGCCCGGGGACCCCGCCCAGGUGAGCGGGGCUGGCCGUGCAGCCCGUCGUCCCCGCCGCCUCCCCACCCCACGCCGAGGUUCCCGUGGCGAGGGCGGGCACUGGGCGCGGGGCGACAGGGUCGUGCCGAGGACCGUCGGCUCGGCUCCGGUGCUGGAAGCGUAGACUUCGGCCCCAAUCCUCUGGCCCGGUUCGCGGAGGGAAGGGGCCAGCAGGCUGCUUGCCCCCUCGUCAGGGGCUCCCCUGCUCCUUCUCUAGAGAGCCCGCAAGCCCCGGGGUCGCCGGCGUCCAGACCUGCCCGCGCCAGAGCUGUGGACCGAGCUGACCGGCCUGAUCGGCAGCUCCGAGCCUGAAAAUGGGUCGGAAAGCGGAGCCGAGGGCCGCGCAGCAGCUGUGUCCCUGGAGGAGGCCCUCCUGCGCCUCGCCGAGUUCCUCUCCGUCCAGCUGGGGGCGGAAGAGAGCUGCGGGAGCCCGGCCGACCUGGGCCAGUCUGGCGAGGUCCCCCCACUGUUGACAGUGACCAGUCAGCUCUUGGCCCUUCUGGCAUGGCUUCGGAGCCCCAGGGGGAGGCAGGCCCUGCUCCAGGGAACUCAGCCAGCCCCUCGGGUCCGGCCCCCCACUCCAGAUGGAUCCACAUCCCAAGAAGAAAGCACUUCCCACCUCGCCGCAGUCCCAGGGGAGCCACUGGGGGAUGAGGCCCAGGGACAGCAGCCCCUCCAGUUGGAGGACGACCAGAGAGAGUGGCAGCGGCUGGAACAGCUCAUCCUCGGACAGCUGGAGGAGCUGAAGCAGCAGCUGGAACAGCAGGAGGAGGAGCUGGGUCGACUGCGCCUGGGCGUGGGGGCGACAGACUCAGAGAAAAGGGUUCAGCAUCUCACUCUGGAGAACGAGGCCCUGAAGCAGAGCCUGAGCCUCAUGCGGGACCUUCUGCUGCACUGGGGUCCCGGCCCCCCUACCAGGGCUCCGCAGGAGGAGGCGGAGGCAUUGGUGGAGCUUCAGGGCCGGCUUCAGGAGGCCCAGGACACCACAGAAGCCCUCCGAGCCCAGCUGGGGGUGCAGGAGGUGCAGCUGCAGGGCCUUCAAGGGGCCCUCCAGCAGCUCCAGCAGGAGACGGAGCAGAACUGCAGGCGAGAGUUACUGCAGAUGCAUGGGCAGCUGGCAGGACUUCGGGCACGGAUGGCCAGCCUGCGUCAGGGCUGCGGCGAUCUCCGAGGAUUGGUCAGCACCUUUACCCAGAGCUGUCAGGGUUCGCUGAGUGAGGCCCGGGGCCAGGUCAGGACCCCUCACCGCCUAGCCCCUCCUCUCUGGGCAGCCUAUUCACUGUUCUUUUGACGGGGGUGCUCCUGGGGAGUUGGCUGUACUAAUAAGUGGGGCUCUGGAACCCAAACAGCUUCUGUGUGACCCAGGCUGGGACUUCGCUUCUGGGUCUGGUUUUCAUCAUGUGCAUACUUGGGUGACAGUAAACUCUUUUUUUUUUCAAUUUUAAUAAUAAAUUUUAUUUAUUCUAAUAGAUCUCUUUUUUUUUUUUGAGACGGAGUCUCGCUGUGUCGCCCAGGCUGGAGUGCAGUGGUGCGAUCUCGGCUCGCUGCAAGCUCUGCCUCCUGGGUUCACGCCAUUCUCCUGCCUCAGCCUCCAAGUA